CAUGGACUACCCUUGAACCCUAAGAACAUAGCUAAGCAGGGUUAGGCCUGGCUGGUACUGGGAUGGGAGACUAUGAAAGAAUAUCUUCAGUUAGAGCUAGGA
ensembl:rRNA 5S_rRNA 5S ribosomal RNA